rnacentral:tRNA from 1 species
GCGCCCGUAGCUCAAUCGGACAGAGCAUCGGAUUUCUAAUCCGAGGGCUGGAGGUUCGAGUCCUCCCGGGCGCACCA